GGCCCUAUGGUCUAGUGGUAAGAUACCCGCUUUGGGAGUUGAAUCUCUUGCGGGUGACCCUGGGUUCGAACCCCAGUGGGGCCC